GGGCUUGUAGCUCAGUUUGGUAGAGCACCGGACUUUUAAUCCGAUGGUCGCGGGUUCAAAUCCCGUCAAGCCCG
rnacentral:tRNA from 1 species